UACGUAUGGAGCAAGCGUUAUCCGGAUUUACUGGGUGUAAAGGGAGCGUAGGCGGUCCUGCAAGUCUGAUGUGAAAGGCCGGGGCUCAACCCCGGGACUGCAUUGGAAACUGUAGGACUAGAGUGUCGGAGGGGUAAGUGGAAUUCCUAGUGUAGCGGUGAAAUGCGUAGAUAUUAGGAGGAACACCAGUGGCGAAGGCGGCUUACUGGACGACUACUGACGCUGAGGCUCGAAAGCGUGGGGAGCAAACAGG
rnacentral:rRNA from 4 species